rnacentral:rRNA from 1 species
AACUCCUACGGGAGGCAGCAGUGGGGAAUAUUGCACAAUGGAGGAAACUCUGAUGCAGCGACGCCGCGUGAGUGAUGAAGUAUUUCGGUAUGUAAAGCUCUAUCAGCAGGGAAGAAGACGACGGUACCUGACUAAGAAGCCCCGGCUAACUACGUGCCAGCAGCCGCGGUAAU